AUUGCUCUGGGUUGGUCUAGGUUGAACUGCAGCUCCUGAUCGGCCUUCGCCUCUCUCCGUCCCAAAGUGACAUUCCUGCCAUGCCUGAGACUUCACCCAGCCCCCACGUAAUUUUCUCAUUUAACUUGCUCCCUGUACGUUGCUCUGAGCGUCUGCCUCAGCUGAAAGCAUCGUCUCCAUGGCGUCGCUAUCCCAGUGGAGCUCGAGCCAAGGGUUGUGGUUUUCCUGGGGUUCAGAUAAGGAGGUGGGGGAAGAACCGGAAGUGACACGGCAUCAGAUCCAAAGGUGGACGAGGACACACCACAGUGUAUUUACAAGCCUGCUGUUCCUUCAGACGGAACCUGGUAGCAGCAUUCACUUUAUUGUUAACCACAUAGUGUAGAGACCCUCAUGAAAAAAGGCUUGCAGACUGCUUUAGAAGGAGACAAGAAUGAUGAGACUAUAUUUGGCAUUAAACCGAGCUCAGCAGAAGUCACGAUCGUCAGCCUGUGGUUUGCGUUCUCCAGCCUUCAAGAAGGUUCCCUUCGCCUGCGCUGCACAAGGCUGCCUUUGCUUUUGCUUGUCUGACGCUGUCUAUAAUUUGAGAAUAGAGGUGAGAAAGAAUGUGGAUAUUCUAUUUUGUGACAUUUUUGUGGUGGCAUAGGUGUUUGAGAAUAGAGGUGAGAAAAUGUGGAUUUUCUAUUUUGUGAUAUUUUUGUGGUGGCAU
rnacentral:lncRNA from 1 species